AACGGUCACCGGGAUCCCUGGAAGAGACAGGGGUUUGGGGAAAACGGAGAGGGUUCUGCGAGGAGACGGGACCAGUGAGACAAGCAGGACCGGGUGGAGGCGCCCCUACGAGCAGGAGGGCAAGGAAGAUGGGGCAAGACGCGGGGAGGCUGCAGAGGAGAAGCAGGGUUGGGUUUGGAGAGAAUGGAGCCUGCAGAAAGGAGCGGCAGAAACUGACGUUGGAAGGCUCAAAAAAGGGGCCCUGGAAAGGACGGAGCGAGGACAAGAAAGGGAAUUCCAAGGGGCAGGAGGGGCUGGGCAGAAGAGCCCGUGUAAACACAGGGUGGCCCAUGCCCAGGAUGAGGGACAGGUGCAGCUUUCAUUCUCUACCUCGCUGUUCCCAGUCCUAGGGCUCGGACUCCCCAAGCCUUUCCGCAGCCGCAUCCACCCACCAUGGCCUCAGGGCCGUGACGCGCGUGGGGAGGGAUGCGGCUGGGGGCUGAGCAGCCGCCAUGAGUGUGGACGGGGGAGGGCGGCAUUCCCGUCUGGCAGCUCUGUUUGGGUUUCUGACGGGGCCUCUUCAAAUCUCCAGGGGCUAUUCUGGGCCUGUCCGGGUUGGGAAUUCCCCAGAGACCUGGCACUUGCUCUCCACAGCCACAGCCUUGGCCCCGCCCUGUAUCUGUGCUGCCGCCAGUAAGGCUGCCCCUGGGGAGGGCGGAGCCAGAACCCCACAGCCACACAGGGCAGAGCUAGGCUGGACUGACGGACACCAGGCCAAGAAGAAACCCUUGGGGGUGGGGGCAGUUGCUUAGUGAGGGCAAUUCAUUCAAUCCAGAGCCAGAAACAGGAUUUUAUUUAAAAUUUAUUGUAAUGGGGUCCGCGCAAAAGGAAGGGGUGGAGAGUGGGGUACAUGCAGGGGACACAGGAACACGAUGACAUGGCCAGGGCCACAACUUCUUCUGUCGUGGGGAAGAGGGAUGAAAAGACAAGACCAGGGCUGGAGCUGGGGUGGAAGAGGGGCGGGGGACACUGGCUGCAUUCCCCCACCCCCAGGAAGCACCUCUAGGCCCUGGACCCCUCGCUCACCCUGGCCCCUAAGACUCCAUCUCUUCUCUGCCUCUGGCCCUCCUGGCUCCUCCUGCUCCCCUUGACUUUUUCCCCUGACAGAUUCUCAAGUAGGACGAUGUUCAGGGCCUGACCCCAAACCCCCAUACCACCUUAUGAAGGUACAACCUUUGCCGGCCCUGCUUCUGCCCCUCCUCAAACCUCACCGCUUUCCCUCUCUGGGACAGCUCUGAUCCCCCUCCUUCCUCUCCUCCCUCCCCCUGGAAAAAAAAAAAAAAAAAGGAAAAGAAAGCACCAACUCCCCGGGGAGGGGCUGCAGACAGCAGGGGGAGAGGACUGGAAGGAGAGAAGAGGACCGUCGAGGGAAGAGGCUCACAAGUCCCUGGGAAGACAGGGCAUGGGCUUACAGAGAGGAGAGGGGGUACGGGCAGUGGCUGCUCGUGUCCUCUGCCACCCCUGCCCACUGUCCAGGGGACUUCAACACAACCGAGGGGACAGGUUUGUGUGGGGUCAGGUCUGAUAGAAGAGAGGAGCAGGAGAAACAAAUCGUUAAAACCUAGCGAAUUCCCCUAAGAAAACAUUUCUUCCUCCUUUCCUUCUGGAGGCUUCUUGGUUGGUGGGGAAAUAGGAGUUGGUGGGAAAAGAGGGGGGAGAGGAGCCUGUACCAAGGGACUCUACUCCAUUCUCCCCUCUCCCCCGCAACCAACUUGGAGCUCACCAGGGUUGGGAGGGAAGUGGCUGAGAGCUCACAGGCACCCCCUCCGCCCCCGAGAGGGAGCCCACAGCUGUGGGAGGGGCUGCUACUGCUGCUGCUGCUGCUGCCGCCGCCGCUGCCGCCGCUGCCGCCGCCAUUGGACAAACCUCACCAGUACCUGCACAGGAGAAACACCACGGAUCACAGCGCGAUCUGAAUGGGUGCGUGCUGGUAUAAAGCCCGGCCCGUGUACUCCACCUGCCCCAGGAGCUGGAGACAAGACCUUGUGGCUACGCAGCGGAAACCUUGCCUUGUGACCCCUAGAACUGGCUUUCUUGACUACUCCUUCCCCAGAGCAGCCAAGUUCUACUCCCCCUCUCCCCACACAUGACCAGGAGGUUCAACCUCUCUGGCAAAUCAUCUUCUCCAGCCAGGACUUCUUAGAGUCUAACGAUGUUCAUUCAGGUGUCCCCCCACUGCUCCCUUGACCUCUUGGAGAAAUCUAGACGCCACGAGCUCUUGGCUACAGCACCCUUAGCCCGUAUCCGUGGCAGGGCGUCUGGCCAGGCGCCCACCCUCUGCCCCUGGCCCUCCCGGCAGCCCUCGGCAUGUACCUUUGUUGCAGAGCUCACAGACAUGGUGAGGGCCCUGGCUGUGCACCUUCAUGUGGUCCGAAAUAUAAGCCGAGCUCAGCAUCUUGCCACACACGUGACAUGGCAC
rnacentral:antisense_RNA from 1 species